GACGAACGCUGGCGGCGUGCUUAACACAUGCAAGUCGAACGGAAAGGCCCUGCUUUUGUGGGGUGCUCGAGUGGCGAACGGGUGAGUAACACGUGAGUAACCUGCCCCUGACUUUGGGAUAACUUCAGGAAACUGGGGCUAAUACCGGAUAGGAGCUCCUGCUGCAUGGUGGGGGUUGGAAAGCUUCGGCGGCUGGGGAUGGACUCGCGGCUUAUCAGCUUGUUGGUGGGGUAGUGGCUUACCAAGGCUUUGACGGGUAGCCGGCCUGAGAGGGUGACCGGCCACAUUGGGACUGAGAUACGGCCCAGACUCCUACGGGAGGCAGCAGUGGGGAAUAUUGCACAAUGGGCGGAAGCCUGAUGCAGCAACGCCGCGUGCGGGAUGACGGCCUUCGGGUUGUAAACCGCUUUCGCCUGUGACGAAGCGUGAGUGACGGUAAUGGGUAAAGAAGCACCGGCUAACUACGUG
rnacentral:rRNA from 1 species